UACGUAGGGGCCUAGCGUUGUCCGGAAUUAUUGGACGUAAAGAGCUCGUAGGCGGUUCGGCAAGUCGGAUGUGAAAUCUCCACGCUUAACGUGGAGGGGCCAUUCGAAACUGCUGUGACUCGAGUCCGGUAGGGGAGUGUGGAAUUCCCGGUGUAGCGGUGAAAUGCGUAGAUAUCUGGAGGAACACCGGUGGCGAAGGCGGCAUCCUGGACCAACACUGACACUGAGGAGCGAAAGCCAGGGGAGCAAACGGG
rnacentral:rRNA from 1 species